AACAUCCAAUCAUGCUGUGUGAAGUGCUCAGCAGGUGCAGAUGAUUCAGAGUUUGUAUGAGAUGACCAGAAGGAAAGAUGACGUGACUUUAAAGAGGGAUCAUUCAUGGGGAAUGCUGGUGGAACGUCCUACCAGUUCCCCUCUACCUUCAAGACCCCCAGCUCUGCAGAGACGACCUCCCCUCCAACACCACCAACAACUGGACAUGCCCUUGAUUCUAUGCAGUAGUACUUAUUGCUGCACUAACACGUCCUUGUCACACUGUACCUUUUUGUGUAGAACAUAAGCCUAAAUGAGGCGAUGUAAGAACCUGCAGGACUGUCAACCCUUAAAAAGCAACGGUCAGUCAGACAGCACACAUGGCAGUAAUGCUGUGGUCUUAAUAUUUCUGACUGCACCUGAAGGCAUCACGAGCAGCUGUGUGGGCGGAGCCAGGAGAAGGAAUGCAACACCUCCAUGAGCAGGUAGAGCCGAGGGUCGCCAUUAAUAUUUGAUCGCACAGAGCGCAGGGUGUUGCUGAUGUUUGAGUGUGAUGGAUCCGUCAAAGCGAGUGUCAUUGUGGUCGGUGGAAGACGUGUUGGAGUGGGUGCAGGAGCAGUACCCAGACCACAUGAGCACGCUCCAUAGAGCCAUCAUUAAACACGCUAUAUCAGGCCGUGCACUGCUGAGAUUAAAGGAUCAUCACCUGGAGCUUCUCGGGGUGGAGGCUGUGGAGCAGCAGCAGGAAAUCUUGCAGGACCUCCUCCUCCUCAAAGUUCAAGAAGAAAUCGAUGAACUCAAUUACAUCUGCUCCGAGUGUUUUCCUGAAUAACAGGAAAUAAAUGUCCUCAGAAGGGACAGAGAAGUGGGAGUGAUGGAAAUAAGAAGAGAAGGUGAAGAGAGAGAAGGAUCAUUGAAGAAUGAAGAGAGAGAGAGAGAAACCCAUUUCCUGUGUGAAAUCUGACCUGGGCUGGAUGGAUGAGAUUAGUUUCUUUCUUUUUCUGAUACCUACGAUCCAAUAGUUACAUUUUUUAUUAGUGUGUUUGCAUCCAAGUCUUCAUCAUAAGUGUAUUUUUAGUUAUGCUCGCUGUGUGUUUCCCUGACGGUCCAACACUUUGGUCAAGACUGAAAUCUCUUAACGAGUGAAUUGUAAUGAACCUUUGUACAAACGUUCCUGAUCCCCAGGGGAUCGACCAUACUGACCUUUUUCUCUAUUUGUAAACUCCUGGAUGGAUUGACAUGAAAUUUCGUACUGUUCCUCGAGCACCAUCAGUUUCAGUCAAAAAUGUGAUUUGUCCAAUACUUUGGUUGUAUUACUUAUACUUCCAGAUUUACUCCUGUCUGGCGGCUUCUUGCUCGGUCAUUUCUCUUCCUAGCUUCCUCUGUCAACAUCCUCUACUGUCUUUUUGCCUCUGUCAUUAUGUCCACAGAGGCUGCUGAGCCCACUUGCCCAGCUCCUGUUCUGGCACGACACUAGCUCUGGGUUUAAAAACCUCACAUCUUCCCAGUUGUCCACCCGAAUUCUUAAUAGUCUAUUUUAAAAAUAAUACAAACACAUUUUAUUACAUUCUUGCCUGCUCUGUUUACAUUCACUUAAAUAGCACUUGAUUGACAGAUCUCUGUGUAAUAGUGUGACACCAGUGAAACAAAGUCGAACCUAAAUCAACGAUAUCUAUAAAAUUGUAGACUUGAUCAUUUGUCUAAUAAAACAAGGCCGCAGAAAGUUGUAGAUCGUGAUCUUAUGCGUUCACGACUGAGUGAUAAUCUCAAACUUAAAUAACAGGCGGAUGGAGAAAAGGUCCAGAAGUCAGAGUAGUUUCAUUUAAACAUUUCUAUAGUUGUCAGAUAGAAAAAGCUGAAUCCAAACAGUGAAACUUCCUCCUGCUGUUUGCUUUCCUCUCUCACAUGCUGGUUGCUUUGAACGUCCAGCUUCUGUUUGAAACGUCUGUGCUCGUAUUUUUGACUGAAACUGCAAACAACAUAAUGUUUUUUAUAAAGUGAAUACUUUGCAGCUUUUCUUGAUUUGAUUAAAUUUUGUUUUGAUACUGGCUAAAGUGAUUAAAGUGAUUCUUGUUUUAACUGGCUGCAGCUGCAGCAUUUAUACCUGGUGAAUCUCCUGAAAGUGUGAAGCGGUUUUCAAACACUUUUUUUUUUUAUAGUGUCCUAUUUAUAAUGUUGGCCUCCUUUUUAAAAUGUGGAUUGUAAGCAUCAAUAACACGGCACGUUCGUGUAACGUGAAAAGGUCAUGUGUAUUUCUGAACGUUUCUCCGUGGCAGUGCGGUUUGUUGAAUUAAAGAAGCUGCUUUGGCGAAACAGUC